GCACCCUUGAUAAAUGCUCUAUAUGCUUGAUCACAUUUAAUUCGCACUACAAUAUUAUAAUGUGUGUAUUAUUGUUAUUCCCAUUUUAGAGAUGAGAAAGUUAAUGCUUGAAUGGUCACAUUACUAAUAAGUGGCAGAGCUAGAAAUUAAACUCAGGUCAGUCCAUGCUGGAAAACACCAUGUGUCAUUUACCAUUUGGCUCUCCACAGUGUUAUUACAGGAGAAAAAAAAAAAGCACAGUCUCUAUGUUUUUGAGUGGCUGAGUUUUUCUCUAAGAAGACACAUUGAAAGUCUCCUCCAACCCCAGUGUACUGAAAGUAAUCAGAAAUGUGGAAAAGUAGACAAAGGUAGUAGUUUGGGGGUUAUACCAGGAUUUCUCUUGCUUUGAGCCAGUGAGAGGAAUGGUUUGUGAUGAAUUCUUACAUUUUUAGCAGAUGAAUAUUCAGCUAUUAAUUUAUUCAUUCAUUUCUUUAACACACUUAAAAACUUUUAUUUUUUUAAAAAAAACUUUUAAUAUACAAGAGAUAAAGAGAUGAAAAUGAUAUAUUUAUUUAUUUCACUUCGGAAUAGGUAAGUGGAACCUAAUUCCUAAGAUUUAAAGAUCUCUUUUCACUUCAGACAUUACAACUCCAUGCAAACUCUUUGAAAGUAGGUAUUCAUGUGAAGUAUAAGGGCAAUACUGUUACUUAGAGUGAAGUCUGGAAUCAGUGUAUGUACAUGAGUAGUGUAUUAGGGCUGUCCAGAAAAACACAACAUAUACCUAUAUCUAUUCUAUAUCUGUAUUUCUAGUCUAUAUAUCCAUAUCCAUAUCUGUAUCCAUAUCCAUAUCCAUAUCCAUAUCCAUAUCCAUAUCCUUAUCCAUAUCUAUAUCUAGAGGGAGAUUUAUCUUAAGUAAUUGGCUCACAUGAUUAUGGAGGCUGGUCAGUCCAAAAUAUGCAGGCUGGUCUGGCAGGCUGGAGACCCAAAGAAAAGCCAAAGAGUUCAAGUCCAAAGGCUGUUUGCUGCAGAAUUCCCUCUUUGUUGGGAGUAGUCAGUCUUUGGUUUUAUUUAGGUCUUCUCCUGAUUGGAUGAAUCCCACCCACAUUAUGGGCAACAUUCUGCCCACCAUAAAGUCCACCAGUUUAAAUGUUAAUUUCAUCCAAAAACACUGUCAUGGAACUAUCCAGAAUCAUGUUCGAUCACAUAUCUAGGUACUGUGGCCGAGCCAAGUUAACACACAACAUUAACUGUCAUAGGUAGGCAGAAGGUGCCUCAGGAACCGAUACAAUUAGUAAAAGCUGGGCUCUGAAGACUGCAUAACCCCUUUUCUCCUCACCAUAGUAAGAAGAGCAGAACCAGAUAGUACUCUAAUUAAACAGGGUAAGCAUGAGAUAAUGAAUUCAGGAAGAAAGCUCUAGGCUACUGCAUUGAAUUCUAACUUUUGCUUGCUUGCAUCCCAUCCUCACCCUCCAUCAUUAGAAUAUUCUUCUGUUUUGCUAAGUCAGCCAGUCAUUCUCUCUUGUUGACCAAUACCUGGAUCUGUGUCUUGCAAAGAAUAAUGUCUUAUAAAGAUUUACUAGGCCAUAUCCAAAUCAAGGGUCAUAUAUAUCACUUAUUCAUUCAUCCUUUUAUUCAUUCCUUUAUUUAUCUAUUUAACAAAUAUUUAUUAAGAAAGUAUUAAAUGCCAAAAAUUCUUCUAGGUUUUGGGGACCAAACAAACACUGAACAAAGUGGAUAUAGUUCUGGUCUUUAUGGAGCAUACUGCCUGUGAUGUAAGAUGGAUAAUAAACCAAUAGUUUUAUAUUGCUCAAAUAAUUACCUUAUUAUAGAUGUAAUAAAUAGCAUGAAGAAAAAGUAUAGGGCUCAAUGACAGGAUGUUACAGGAUAACACAAGAAUGAGUAAAAGUAACAGACACUUAGAGAUGGCAAUAAAACCUAUUUCUUUGUAUCUCAGUCUAACCCAUACAAUCCCAUUUAUAAAUGCUCCAUAAUCUGUUUGCUUAUGGCUGGAAACACACAAGCAUGGUGAUUCUUGAAGCUAUGUGUUGAGAACAGCAGAACCACACAUUGAAAGCAGCUUGGAUUUCUGAAACCCUGCAUUGAAGGCCACCCACCAAAUGCCAGAAUUGGACUGUUAUGUAUACACUCAGAGGAAAAACAAAAACAAAAACAAAAACAAAAACAAAAAAAUUGUGAAGACACAGGGAGAAGAUGACCAUCUGCAAGCCAAACAAAAAGGUUAAGAAGAAAUAAAUUCUGCUGACACCUUAAUCUUGGACUUCUAUCCUUCAGAACUGUGAAAAAAUAAAUUUCUGUUUAAGUCA